rnacentral:rRNA from 1 species
CUACGGGUGGCACCAGUGGGGAAUAUUGCACAAUGGGCGCAAGCCUGAUGCAGCCAUGCCGCGUGUAUGAAGAAGGCCUUCGGGUUGUAAAGUACUUUCAGCGGGGGGGAAGGGAGUAAAGUUAAUACCUUUGCUCAUUGACGUUACCCGCAGAAGAAGCACCGGCUAACUCCGUGCCAGCAGCCGCGGUAAUACGGAGGGUGCAAGCGUUAAUCGGAAUUACUGGGCGUAACGCGCACGCAGGCGGUUUGUUAAGUCAGAUGUGAAAUCCCCGGGCUCAACCUGGGAACUGCAUCUGAUACUGGCAAGCUUGAGUCUCGUAGAGGGGGGUAGAAUUCCAGGUGUAGCGGUGAAAUGCGUAGAGAUCUGUAGGAAUACCGGUGGCGAAGGCGGCCCCCUGGACGAAGACUGACGCUCAGGUGCGAAAGCGUGGGGAGCAAACAGGAUUAGAUACCCCUGUAGUC